AUUGGCCUUGAAGAAAACGAAUAUAAGGCGACAUUAAUUUGUUUCUGUUACACUUCAAUUCAAGUUGUGACAGCUGUUGUGGCAAAUUUCAAAAUGAAGUUACUUCUGUAUAUCACAAUUUUUUCGCUAAUUGCGUUGUCUGUCGCUGCACUACCAGGAUCCUCUCCUAUUGGUAGUGAAGAGCUAAAUGAAACUGUUACGCUAAAAGAAGCGGAAGCUAAUGCAGCAGCAGAAGCUAAUGCGGCAAACGAAGCAAAUGCGGCAAACGAUGCAAAUGCAGCAAACGAAGCGAAUGCGGCAAACGAAGCAAAUGCGACCAACGAAGCAAAUGCGGCUGAUCCGGAAUUAGCAAGGAAAAAAAGGAAGGGAAGGCAUGGAAAAUGAAACACCAAUUUGAAGAAGAGGCAGGGAAGGGAGAAGAACAUGCAUAAUCACUAAUUUUUUGAUUUAAUCACUAAUUAAUCUAAAUGUCUGAUUGUAAUGUUCAUGAAUAAAUUAAUAGCACAGAUA